AAUAGAUACCCGGGUAGUCCACGCCGUAAACGAUGAGUGCUAAGUGUUAGAGGGUUUCCGCCCUUUAGUGCUGCAGCUAACACAUUAAGCACUCCGCCUGGGGAGUACGGUCGCAAGACUGAAACUCAAAGGAAUUGACGGGGGCCCGCACAAGCGGUGGAGCAUGUGGUUUAAUUCGAAGCAACGCGAAGAACCUUACCAGGUCUUGACAUCCCACUGACCGGUAUAGAGAUAUACCUUUCCCUUCGGGGACAGUGGUGACAGGUGGUGCAUGGUUGUCGUCAGCUCGUGUCGUGAGAUGUUGGGUUAAGUCCCGCAACGAGCGCAACCCUUGAUCUUAGUUGCCAGCAUUUAGUUGGGCACUCUAAGGUGACUGCCGGUGACAAACCGGAGGAAGGUGGGGAUGACGUCAAAUCAUCAUGCCCCUUAUGACCUGGGCUACACACGUGCUACAAUGGAUGGUACAAAGGGCUGCAAGACUGCGAAGUCAAGCCAAUCCCAUAAAACCGAUUCUCAGUUCGGAUUGCAGG
rnacentral:rRNA from 1 species